rnacentral:lncRNA from 1 species
GCACCAAGGGCCAUGACCUCCAAACCUGCAAGAAAGUUGAGCAGAUGGCGGAGCUACAGAAAGCUGAGUACGAGCGCCGCGACAAGGAGAGAGCCCAGGGAGGUGGCGGAGGAUCCGGCAAGAAGCUUCCCGCUCGGGGAGGGCACCGCGGCAAGGCCAAGCCGCGGCAAGGAGACAAGCCUCCCCGUGGCCGCGACAAGGACGAAGAGGAAGAUGAGGAUGAUGAGAUGGAGGCAGAUGAGGCUGAUGACCAAGAGUUUCAGAAGGCAACGGAGGUGUUGUGCAUCGACGGCGGAGCCUCUCUGCACACCUCGCACCGCCAACUCAAGCAGUGGGUGCGAUAAGUGAGCGCAGCGGAGCCGUCCGUCGAGUCGCGCAAGCCUCUGAAGUGGUCCAGCACGCCCAUCAUCUUCGAUGUUGAGGAUCACCCUGAUCGCAUCACUGCGGUCGGGUGCUUGCCAAUGUUGGUCUCACCAACAAUCCGCAACCUCAAGGUCACGAAGAUGUUGGUUGACGGCGGGGCCGGCCUGAAUCUGAUUUCCUCCGCAGUGCUCAAGAAGCUCCAGAUCCCCGACAGUGAGCUCGAAGAGACUGGUACCUUUCAAGGAAUAAACCCAGGAAGGAGCAAGCCGAAGGGGAAGAUCACACUGCCAGUGACGUUUGGCAGCGAGCUGAAUUUUAGGACAGAGAGGAUCACAUUUGACGUCGCCGAUUUCCCAUUGCCCUACAAUGGGAUACUCGGCUGACCAACGCUUGCCAAGCUCAUGGCAGCCUCUCACUACGCAUACAAUGUGCUCAAGAUGCCUGGUCCGAUAAGUGUCAUUUCUGUCCAAGGCGACAAGAAGGACGCACUUAUCUACACCGACAAGAUCUACCGAGAAGCAGCAGCCGCAGAAGAGCGCGAGCCACUUGCCGCUGAAGCUCCCCGGGGGAAGAAGAAGGCCAAGUCCGGCAAGAGUAGCAGCUCUGGUACCCAUUCCGGCAAGCGCACCUCUUCGGAGUGCUGCGCUACCGUCGAGGACGCACCAUCGAGCUCCACCGGCAAGUGCAAGAAGGCAAAGGCAGUUCUACCAAAGACUAAACCCGGCGAGAACAGCUCUGGUGCCUACUCCGGCAAGCGCACUUCUCCGGAGUGCCGCGCCGCCGUCGAGGACGCGCCAUCGAGCUCCACCGGCAAGUAGAGCAAAGAGAGCAGUCGGUUUCAAACUUUUGAGUCGUAUUCCUUGAAAGACCGUACCUUGUAUGGAAAACCUGUGCGCAAAGGGGUCGAAUCGUGGCUAAGUUGCGCCCUUGAUCUGUUUCGAGUCCGCUCAACAAUGAAAGCACGCUGCAACUAGCCCGACGAGGUUUUCCUGCCGGAGGCAACACCGCCAGCGGGCUGCUGAUGUUCCGCACUCAGCAAGUGUGUUUGCACCGACGGGUUCCCUGAAAGCGUGAGGGUGAAAACAUACAAGGAAGGGAAUCAAGGGAGAAGUGCGGCCUUGCCGGAGCGCAGAAGAGAGAAAAGCUAAGUUGCCCAAGUUUGAGUAUAGAGCACCUUCAGUUUUAAAUUUUUAUGUUAUAUUCCUUGAACGUCCGUGCCUUGUAUAAUAAAAAAAACCUGUGCGCGGAGGAACCAACUCGUGAUUAAGUUGCGCCCUUGCUUUGUUUCGAGUCCGCUCAACAAUGAAAGUGCGCUGCAACUGACACAACAAGGUUUCUUGCCGGAGACAGCACCACCAGCGGGCUGCUGAUGUCCCGCACUCAGCAAGCGUGUUAGCACCGGCAAGUCCCCUAAAAGCGUAGGGUAAAAACAUACAAGGGAUGUGAUGGGGUAAAGGAUGUAACAUAGCGAGCCUUGUCGUGGGACGCCCUUUGUAUGGGAAACUUGUGCGCGGAGGAGCCGGCUCGUGGCUAAGUUGUGCCCUUGAUUUGUUUUCGAGUCCGCUCAACAAUGAAAGCGCGCUGCAACUAGCCCGACGAGGUUUCUUGCCGGAGGCAACACCGCCAGCGGGCUGCUGAUGUUCCGCACUCAGCAAGCGUGUAUGCACCGGCAAGUCCCCUAAAAGCGUAGGGUAUAAACAUACAAAGGGUGAAACAUAGCAUUACAUUACCCAACAUGAAGCUACGUUACAAAAAGUAACUUAUUACAGCGCUGUCUAAGUUGUUCUCGUGACUGGAAUAACAGCGACAGGAAAAGAGCAGAAGGGCGCACUGGCACCUGGGCCCCGGCAAACCGGCAUUGCUGGGGGCUGCGAGUACCAAGAUUCCUUCGCGGCAAGCCAGGGUCGCCGGGGGCUGCGAUGCCAGCGGCAAGAACAAAAGAAAAGGGCGCAGGCUCCUGUGUCCCGACAAGCCAGAGUUGCCGGGGGCUGUGAUAUCAGAUAAGUUUUUCAUCCCUCAUCAUGCAUCCUCUUAUGGACUGGAGAAUGCGAGGCCGCAUCCUUGAACGAGCGUGCCUUGUAUGGAAAAACCUGUGCGCGGAGGAGCCGAAUCGCGGCUAAGUUGCGCCCUUGAUUUGUUUUCGAGUCCGCUCAACAAUACAAGUGCGCUGCAACUGGCCCGACAAGGUUUCUUGCCGGAAACAGCACCGCCAGCGGGCUGCUGACGUUCCACACUCAGCAAGUGUGCUUGCGCCGGCAAGUUCCCUCGAAGCGUAGGGUGGAAACAUACAAGGCACAGAAUCAAGUAAAGGAUAUAACCCGGCAAGCAUUCCCCUCUUUUCAUUAAAAAAAACAUCCCAUUCCAGUACAAGUCCAUAGAGGAUGAAAAACAUGAAAGAGAGGAUUACAAGUUUUAAAUGCAGCUAAGGCCCGAAGGCUUACAAAUUGAAAAGAUAAGAUGCCCGUAAUCCCUCUCCUGUUUCUCUCUUCAGGAGGUAGGUCAAGGAGGCCCCGGCAAGAGAAGUUUGCCGGGAAGGGCAAAAGGGGCGCCUAUGUGAGCUACGGGUGCCAGAAGACACCAAGAGAACAUCCCGGGGGCCGGCCAGGGGCUUGGCGGAGACGGAGGCACCGGAAGCAGAGCUCGAAGACGGGGCGGCAGGACGUCAGCACGCUGUCGAGGGCACCACGCCCUCGUACUCCGACUUGACGGCCUUGCCGCCACCCCUCUUCCUCUUUUGCAGCCUCCCUACGCCAGCCGCCCAAGGAGACGACCCCGGGGAGUUCAGAAGGCCGGCGACCCGGAUGAUGGGGUCGCCGGUGGCGCGUGAGGCGAUGGCCGACGCCUAGUCGAGCCCACCGCCGUCCUCGUCGUCGCUGUCGCUCUCCUCCUCAUCACUCUCGCUCGAGGGGGAGUCUUCGCUAUCGGAGGAGCUGUCCACGCAGCAUCUCGCCCGGGUGCCGGAGUCCCCGAAGACCUUGACGGCGAGAAGGUCGCUCUCCAUUAACUUAAAAUGGAGGGUGAACCCCGCCGUCAAGCUGUGGAUGCGAGCGAACGUCUUCCACCCUCGAUCAAGAUACAUCACGCCGGGGGCUGGGGAUACGACACUAACUCGCGUGCCGCUGAUCCCGCAGCCCCUCAUGCGCAAUUCCAGCGUCUCGGGCAGGUCCGGCUCCAUCGCGCUCGCAAACGGAGCCGGAAGCCGGAGGUGACGACGAGGUGCCCGGUGCAGCUUGACGAAGAACUCCCAAGGGUCGUCCCCCGUGUGGACCGCCGGGAGGAGAGGAACCGCCGGCGGAGGCGACGCCGACGCGCCGCCCCGACCGCCUCUUCCCCGCGCACCUCGACCUCGCCCUCGGCCUCGCCCACGGCCUCGCCCCCUCCCUCUCCCCCUCGGGGCUGGUUCUGCCACCACGGGCGCGGGAUAGGGAGGGAUGCGCUGCCUGGCGGCGACUCUCGCCGCCACCAAUGAAGGACCCGGGUUCCCUCCCUCCAUGGCGGAUGAGAGGAAGGAUAACAGAAGUUGAAGGAAGGAGAAGAUGAGGAAGUGCGGGAUUUUUGCGCUCCCCUUCCACCCCUUUUUAAGGAGCAAGGUGGGGGCUCGACCGCCCCGCUCAGCCAAUCAGAGCACGGGGAGAGCAGGGAGUCGGGGCCGACCCGCUGCCUCCUCCCGUGACGGCUCGAUUUCCCACUUCCACCGCCCACGACCCCACGCGCAUGGGGGCCGCGUGGCGAAGAUGCAGAGCCGAGACGACGGGUGAGGAGGCCUCGCCCCCACCCCGUGAUCACAAGGGAGGGCGCCUUGAAAAUUGCACACGCCCCCCGCGCCUCCCACGACGCCGCAAUUGACGCGUGCCGUUACGGGGGGGGGGGGUGCGGUGGAUUCGAAGCGGAUUCGGCUAGGAUCCAGGCCGCGCGUGCCCGUGCACUAUUUUGGGCCUGGCCCAACAACGCUCGGCACCGUGUAUGGCCCAGGCCCGGGGGCUCCUAUCGGUGUACUAAAGUAGGGGUACCUUAGUACCCCGAACUUGUGCACGGGCAGUUGUAGCACCCCGCGGCAAGGCUUGCCGGGCACCCGCCAAGACCCUCCGUCAUUUCCUAUUGCUGCCAUUCAAGAACAAAGUAUCAACUGAGAAGACAAAGACCCCGGCAAGAGGAGCUUGCCGGGAAGGCCAACCAAGGCGCCCCUAAGAAGACUUGCCGCGACGCCCCGCGCGUCCCGGCAAGGCCCAGCGACCGGCAAGCUUGCCGGCGCGACAAGAGAAGGGCCGCGGCAAGGUGCUUGCCGCGGCAAGGCUGCCACCCUGCACCCAAACUCCAGCGCAUCCAGCGACAUGUCGCCCCAGGGCCAUCCCAGGAGCACGUGGCGAGGCGCUGCGCAGCCAUGCAGAGCGAGGUGGCAAGCGAAGCUGACAAGGAGGCCAUCGUGGCAACCGGUGGCGCACCUAACGGUCGUUUCGUUGCACUGUUGGGGCGACCGGACGGGCAUUAAAUGCCCUUGUCCCCUGCCGUCAGAGUUAGGUAGGGGACACUGUUGGACACUGUUGUACCAACCUGCUUUUUUACCUUUCUACCCCUCUUCCUACACUGCCACCUGUCGGUGACCCCCUUAGACUAUAAAAGGGAGGCCCAUGCGCACGUAGAAGGGGUUCCGCAGUUCGUAGAUCCAACACCACUAUACGCUCGCGCUCUCGAGCAAGAGCAAAUACAAACACAAAGCAGCAGUAGGAGUUUUAUCUCCCCGGAGAGCUCCGAAGCUGGGUAAAAAAUCGCCCGUCUGCCCCGCGCGCUCGACCUCGAUCUGCUCUGCGCACGCCCUCUGCUCCCUCGCCGGACUAGAAGGGCCCCCUGCCCCAUAGGUGCUCGAGGCCACAGAGCGCCCCGACAUCUUUGGCGCGCCAGGUAGGGGGGCGUCGAGGUCGUGGGCAUCUGAUCCGGUCUCCGCGCGCGUUACAUCAACGCCUUCAUCAACAUGCCACCAAAGAAGAAGCCUUCGGAGGUGGCCGCUCCGGUGGAGUGGACGCCGGCAGAGGAGCGGGCGCCGACGGUGGGACUCACGUCGUCACCAGGUCCAAAAACAAGGCCCCGCAAGCGUCGGCGACCGUGUAGACACCGCACCCUUCCUAGGAGGUGCAAGGUCGACAACGCCCCGGUGCUCCUAGCACCGUGCUCGCAUUGGAGCAAGGCCAAGCUGGUGGGUCGCGAGACGUUCGAGACCAGCAUGCACGCCAGCAUGCUGGCGCGAGUGAGGUACGGUCGCCCAGACGGGGUGUUGCUCCUUCCAAUCCAGUUGGGAGUCCGAGCACAUCCCGCUCCUUGCGCCGCUCGUCGCCGCCACCAUCCAAGACUGCAGAGGAAGCGCUGGCCCGAGCCCAGCUGCUUCUAGAUUACCCUCCGGCGCCACACAAGAUUGACGACUGGAGGAUGACCAUUUAUAGUCUCAUCGGCUUCGCCAACAGCGACAAGCCCGGGCAACCGAGCACGUCGAAGCCCCGGCGAGACGCCCAGGCGCAAGCCGACGCCGACAAGACCGCUGGGGGUGCCACCUCCAUGCACUCCCAGCCCCGAAGGCCAAGAUCGCCGACUCGCCGGGCCAACCCCGACGCCGACUCCACCGCGUCGUCGGACCCGCGAGCUCGCCACGAUCAACGCCACGUUCUCCAAGAACGACGGCAUGAGGACGCUCGUACUCGCAUCGAGCGCAGAAGAGAAGCGCGGCGUCAAUCUGACCAGCGCGCUGGGCCCACUGUCGAUAUGCAUGCGCCGCGAGUUUUAUCCCCAUGAGUGCUCGCUUAUGAUGAGCUUGAGCAAGAGCAGCUGCGGCGAGAUGACGCGCUGCUCCUCGAGGAGGAUCAUCUUCAGGCUGCUGUGCGAGCUGCUCGCUACCAGCAAGCUUUGCGCCGCUAUCAUAGCCGCAAAGUUAAUGCCAGAAGCUUCGAGGAAGGCGACCUUGUUCUUCGGCGCGUUCAAUCCGCCAAGAAUUCCAACAAGUUGACGCCGAAGUGGGAAGGCCCUUAUCGGGUGAAACGAGUCACUAGGCCCGGCGCUGUCCGCCUUGAGACCGAAGAUGGCGUUCCGGUGAGCAACUCCUGGAACAUUGAGCAUCUUUGCAAGUUUUACCCAAGAGGCGCGGUUGCCGGGCCCCGAUCCGGCAACCAACUUUUGUACAAAGCCUUGCCGCUGUUGCAUGUAAUCCUUUGUACAAAGCCGGGCGCAACUCCCGUGCGUAAAUAAAGUUUAUGUGCCCUGCACAUCUUGUCAAAUUCAGUGCAUCUUUCUUUUUCUUGCACAUAUAUCUGACGCUUUGUGCAGCACUUACCCCCCCGGGGGGGGGGGGGAGGAGGAGAUAAAGGUCUGGACCAGGCGUCGUUCAAAGGAAUCUAGCCUUACCGGGACGAAGCCCGACGUGCCCGAGAAGUACGAUGGCAGGAUACAUCCGUCAGAGUUUCUCAGCAUCUACACCAUCGCGGUGCAGGCUGCCGGAGGACGUGACGAGAAGAUCCUUGCCAACUACUUCCCGCUGGUGCUCAAGCCCAACGUCAGAUCUUGGCUCAUGCACUUGCCGGACGGCUCCAUCUCUUCAUGGGCGGACCUGUGUCAUCAGUUUGUCGGCGCCUUCAUAGGCGGCCACAAACCCCAUGGCCAGGAGAGCGAUCUGCAUCUGCUCGUCCAGAAGGAGGGGGAGCCCCUACGCAAGUACAUACAGAGAUUCAGCCAGGUGCAGCGCAACAUCCCGGACGUCCACCCUGCCGCGGUUAUCAGCGCGUUCCAUCAGAACGUGCGUAACCGCAGGAUGAGGGAGGAGAUGGCGAUGUGCAAGAUCAGAGAUGUCAGCGAGCUCUAUGCUCUGGCCGACAAGUGUGCACGGGCUGAGGAGGGGAGGAAGAUCCCCGGAGAGACUGCAGCAGCAGAAGGGUCUGAUAGUGAGGAUGCCGCCCCGGCAAGGAAGAACCGGAGGCGGAACAACAGGAAAAGAAAGGCUAAGGAUGUGCUAGCUGUCGAGCAUUCCGGCAACGGAGGCGGCUCCGACAAGGCCAAAGCUGACGACUCCGGCGAGGCUGUGGUAGCCGCCGACAAGCAGGAUGGCUCCGGCAAGCGGUAUUGCAAUAUCCACCGCACCAAGGGCCAUGACCUCCAAACCUGCAAGAAAGUUGAGCAGAUGGCAGAGCUACAGAAAGCUGAGUACGAGCGCCGCGACAAGGAGAGAGCCCAGGGAGGUGGCGGAGGAUCCGGCAAGAAGCUUCCCGCCCGGGGAGGGCACCGCGGCAAGGCCAAGCCGCGGCAAGGAGACAGGCCUCCCCAUGGCCGCGACAAGGACGAAGAGGAAGAUGAGGAUGAUGAGAUGGAGGAAG